AGAGCAUGACAAGGGGAGGGGCAGAGAGAGGGGGAGACACAGAUUCUGAAGCAGGCUCCAGGUUCCAAGUGUCAGCACAGAGCCCGACGCGGGGCUCGAACUCACGAGCUGUGAGAUCAUGACCUGAGCCGAAGUCGGACGCUUCAACCGACUGAGCCACCCAGGCGCUCCAGAAGGCUCAUUCCGAAGCAACACUGGUUUCUAUACACAAUACUUUACUCUGACCACAUAGGUCACAUUAAUAGCUUCAAUCUGCAGGCCAGGGAGCCCCCCAGACAUCCAUUCUACCCAGAUACUGAGAAAUCUGGAUAACGAACAAGUAGUGAAGACCUUUGCUUUCACCAUCAUCAUUAAUUCUGCCUUUCUUCUUUAGUUUCUCUACCAGUCACCCCUCUGCCAUCCCCAGUGGUAGUCUCAGAAACUCGGAGUACACUUUCUGUCCUGGUAACACCAGCUCUUGAGGGAGUACAUUUCCCCUUUGUGCUAGGUUGAAUAGUGUCUCCCAAAUUCACGCCCCUUCACAACCUGUGCAUGUGGCCUUAUUUGGAAAUAGGGUCUUUGCAGACGUCAUCAAGUUUAGAUAAAGCCAUACUGGGUUAGGGCCAGCACUAAAUCCAAUAUGACUGGUGUCUUUAUAAGAAAAGGAAAUUUGGGACACAGACACACAGAGAUGCACAGAAAGGAGAAUGCCAUGUGAAGACAGAUAGAAAUUGGACUGAUGUGUCUACAAGGCAAGGAACGCCAAGGAUUGUCGGCAACCAAUGAAAGCUAAGGAGAGGCAAGGAAGGAAUCUUCCUUAGAGCCUUUGAAGGGAGCAAGGUCCUGCUGACACCUCGAUUUCAGACUUCCAGCCUCCAGAACUGUGACAGUGUAAAUGUCUGUUGUUUUAAGUGACCCAGGUUGGGGUAAUUUGUUACAGCAGUCGCAGGAAACUAAUACACCUUGUUCCUAUUCCCUUCCUUUUUGUAUAGAUGCUGCUUACAUGCUGAGGAUUUCUUUUUAUUUCCCUAGAAUGCUCCUCUUUGGACAAUCAUACUUUAUGCACCCUAUCCAGGACAGCGAUCUUCGGUCUAGGGUACAUAUUCCCUGAAGGUAUGUGAAGACUUUUAAGGUGUUUACAAGUAUGGACAGCUUUGAAGAUCCUCCAUUUUCAUAUCUAUUCUUUCCUAAAAGUGAAAUAUUUCUUUUUUAAAAUUUUUUUAACGUUUAUUUAUUAUUGAGAGACACAGAGAGACAGAGUGCGAGCAAAGGAGGGGCAGAGAGAGAGGGAGACACAGAAUCCGAAGCAGGCUCCAGGCUCAGAGCUGUCAGCACAGAGCCUGACGCGGGGCUUGAACUCACAAACUGCGAAUUCAUGACCUGAGCCGAAGUCGGACGCUUAACCGACUGAGCCACCCAGGCACCC
rnacentral:lncRNA from 1 species